UCCAGGGUAGCCUAGUGGACAUGGCAUCUGCCCUGUAUGCGGAACAUUGUGGGUUCGAUUCCCAUCCCUGGAC
rnacentral:tRNA from 1 species